GGAAGCUGGCUCAGAGAUUAUCGCCGCCGCAAGCAAGUCCAGUGUGUGCGGUUUAUGAGUGAUUCGUAGAAAGCGCAGGACAGAGAGCGAUGCGUGAAAGAAAGGCAGAUGUUGAGCAAAUGGCGAGCCUGUACACAGAUGCGUAGUCGCAAAGAAAGAAG